UUAGCUAGUUGGUGAGGUAAAGGCUCACCAAGGCGAUGAUACAUAGCCGACCUGAGAGGGUGAUCGGCCACAUUGGGACUGAGACACGGCCCAAACUCCUACGGGAGGCAGCAGUAGGGAAUCUUCGGCAAUGGACGAAAGUCUGACCGAGCAACGCCGCGUGAGUGAAGAAGGUUUUCGGAUCGUAAAACUCUGUUGGUAGAGAAGAACGUUGGUGAGAGUGGAAAGCUCAUCAAGUGACGGUAACUACCCAGAAAGGGACGGCUAACUACGUGCCAGCAGCCGCGGUAAUACGUAGGUCCCGAGCGUUGUCCGGAUUUAUUGGGCGUAAAGCGAGCGCAGGUGGUUUAUUAAGUCUGGUGUAAAAGGCAGUGGCUCAACCAUUGUAUGCAUUGGAAACUGGUAGACUUGAGUGCAGGAGAGGAGAGUGGAAUUCCAUGUGUAGCGGUGAAAUGCGUAGAUAUAUGGAGGAACACCGGUGGCGAAAGCGGCUCUCUGGCCUGUAACUGACACUGAGGCUCGAAAGCGUGGGGAGCAAACAGGAUUAGAUACCCUGGUAGUCCACGCCGUAAACGAUGAGUGCUAGAUGUAGGGAGCUAUAAGUUCUCUG
rnacentral:rRNA from 1 species